AUGGCGGGUGUUGGAAGGGGGAUGGGGCGGGGCAGUGGCGAUGGCGAUGGCGAGUUGCGAACAGUGGGGGUCGUCGCCGGCGUCCAUAUCCCAUUCCUAGAUCAAGAGGCUAUUCUCGCGUGUCAUGGGAGAGGUCAUGGCAGCGGCAGUGCAACUAUCCCCGUCGGCCGUUCAUCGGGAGGACAAGCAACGGGAUUUCUGGAUGACAUCAACCGAAGCGGAUUUGCCACCGGGGUGGCUCGUCAGGGUGGCAUAAGCAGAGGCCCGGAGGUUCCACUGCCGAUUAAAGAACCAACUAAAGGUAAUGCAAAUGAUGUAACAAACAUAUGGUGUCAUGGGAAAUCAUUGGAAGGACAAGCAUGGGAGUGUGGAUAUUGUGCUUUACAUAGACAUGGUGGGGGUGCAACCCGAUUCAAGCAGCAUAUAGCUGGAUUGGGCCCUCAUGUCUUCUCUUGCAUGAAUGCACCUCAUCAUGUAGUUGCCAUUUUUCGGAAAGCCAUUCCAGAGGGAGAGGCCCGAAGGAGGACUUCCAAAGAAGGAAAGAAAAGAGUGGUAGAUGAGGUCAAUCAUAUAAACAGUCAAGGUGCAUCAAUACAUAUUGAUUGUGAAGAUGAAGAUGAUGAGAUACUCCAGCAGACCCUACGAAAUUCAUUACGUGGAGAUCAUGGGAGAACCAGCGUUGUUAAAGGAAGUGUAGGGAGCAGCUCAAGUGGUGUCAAAGACUUUUUUGACGUUGAUUUGGCAUAUAGCAAGACUAGGCCACAACAGACAAUGGAGGCGUGUAUUAACAAGGUGGAAUACGAAUCUAGGAUUGGGAAGGCUUGGGCAAAAUGGUUUCAUGCUAAUGACAUCCCUGGGCACAAAGCCAAUUGUCCAUACUUUGUAGGAGCAAUAAAAUUGACUCAAGACCUUGGCAAAGGGGUGCCUGCCCCUAAAGGGAUAGAUAUUGAUGGAAUAUAUUUAAAUACCAACUAUGAAGAGUUGCAGCAGUAUGUGGCCAAUUUCAAAGAUGAUUGGCCCACAUAUGGUGUCACUAUCAUGUCAGAUUCGUGGACUGGCCCUUCACGGAUGAGCAUUAUAAACUUUAUGGUGUUCUCCAAUGGGCGUAUGUAUUUCCACAAAUCUGUUAAUGCCACCGGACACAUGCAAAAUUCAAAGUUUGUGUAUGAGCACAUCAAAGAAGCGAUUGAAGAGAUAGGGCAGCAACAUGUUGUCCAACUCGUGACCGACAAUGGCUCUAACUUCAAGAAAGCAUGUCUUGACCUUGUUGCAGAUUUCCCACACAUCACAUGGCAGCCAUGUGCAGCUCACACCAUUAACCUCAUGCUGAAGGAGAUGGGAUGCUUUCCUGAGAUUAAUGAAGUGGUUAGUAGUUGUAAGAGAAUUUGUAGAUUCAUGUACAAUCAUUCAACUUUGCAUGCUGAAAUGCAGAAGCACAUAGGUGGAGAGUUGGUGCGACCGAAUGCCACAAGGUUUGAAACUAACUUUAUGUUCCUAGAAAGCUUUUGGGAUAAGCAAGAGAAAUUCCAAGUGUGGAUGACAUCUCCAGAGUGGAAAAAUAGCUCAUGGAGUUCCGAGGUUGAUUAUGACUACACAUAUGAUUGUUUGAUAAGUAGGACCUGGUGGAAUGGUGUGAAGUGGGUGCUGGAUUUAAUUGGCCCAAUAUAUAGCAUACUUCGAUAUGCUGAUUCACAAAAGCUUGGGUCACUUUCUGGCUUUAUGACAAAGAUGAUGCAUGCUAGGCAUCAAUUGAGUUCAUUGUUUUCUCAUGAUUCUCUAGACCAACACGAGUACCUAAAUGUGGUUGACAAAAGGGUUGAGCAUUUAUACAAAAACACAUUGAUGGUUGCAGCCGGUGUUCUGGACCCGGCAAGUCACUACAAGUAUAACUUUGGAAAAAGUCUAUCACACAUGAGGGCACUCAAUGCAGCACUUAAGAAGUUGGCUAGUCCUUCAGAGUUCAUUGCUAUGAUUCCUGAAGUUCACUCUUAUGUCAAUACAAGAGGGGCUUUUGAAGGCAUGUACCCUCGUAGUGCAGCUGAAAAGGUGUCCCCAACUGAGUGGUGGAUAACAUUUGGAGAUACUACACCGGUGCUUCAAAAGUAUGCUAUCCGGAUUGUUUCUCAAUGCACCUCUUCAAGCGGUUGUGAGCGGAAUUGGAGCACAUACGCUUUAGUGCAUACACUAGUGAGGAACCGUCUUGGUUUUGAAAAGUUGCACAAGAUGGUUUUUUGCCACUACAACCUUGGGCUGCGAAUCCGACUAAUUCUUGGUGAGACAAAAGAGAAAGAGGUUGAUACUUGUGCGUUGUUGAUGAAUACCUCUCUCUAUGAUUGUAACAACGAAAUCAUGGAUUGGCUGGGCAACUCAACAAGUGAUUCCAUGCAAGAUGAGGAUGCGUAUGAUGGUGAUGGUGAUUGUCCAGUGGUCGUAGAGGUGGGACAAAAGAGAACUAGAGGAAGUGGGAUGCCUCCAAGUGAGGAGGAAGAGGAGGAAGAGGAGGAAGAGGAGGCAGAGGAUGUAGAUGAUGGGGAGGAUGAUGAAGGUAACAAUGACGUGCUGCCUAACGAAAAUAGUGAACCUCUGCGGAAGUCUACAAGCAAAAAGGAGGAAGAGGAAGGUAAUGCAAAUGAUGUAACAAACAUAUGGUGUCAUGGGAAAUCAUUGGAAGGACAAGCAUGGGAGUGUGGAUAUUGUGCUUUACAUAGACAUGGUGGGGGUGCAACCCGAUUCAAGCAGCAUAUAGCUGGAUUGGGCCCUCAUGUCUUCUCUUGCAUGAAUGCACCUCAUCAUGUAGUUGCCAUUUUUCGGAAAGCCAUUCCAGAGGGAGAGGCCCGAAGGAGGACUUCCAAAGAAGGAAAGAAAAGAGUGGUAGAUGAGGUCAAUCAUAUAAACAGUCAAGGUGCAUCAAUACAUAUUGAUUGUGAAGAUGAAGAUGAUGAGAUACUCCAGCAGACCCUACGAAAUUCAUUACGUGGAGAUCAUGGGAGAACCAGCAUUGUUAAAGGAAGUGUAGGGAGCAGCUCAAGUGGUGUCAAAGACUUUUUUGACGUUGAUUUGGCAUAUAGCAAGACUAGGCCACAACAGACAAUGGAUGCGUGUAUUAACAAGGUGGAAUACAAAUCUAGGAUUGGGAAGGCUUGGGCAAAAUGGUUUCAUGCUAAUGACAUCCCUGGGCACAAAGCCAAUUGUCCAUACUUUGUAGGAGCAAUAAAAUUGACUCAAGACCUUGGCAAAGGGGUGCCUGCCCCUAAAGGGAUAGAUGUUGAUGGAAUAUAUUUAAAUACCAACUAUGAAGAGUUGCAGCAGUAUGUGGCCAAUUUCAAAGAUGAUUGGCCCACAUAUGGUGUCACUAUCAUGUCAGAUUCGUGGACUGGCCCUUCACGGAUGAGCAUUAUAAACUUUAUGGUGUUCUCCAAUGGGCGUAUGUAUUUCCACAAAUCUGUUAAUGCCACCGGACACAUGCAAAAUUCAAAGUUUGUGUAUGAGCACAUCAAAGAAGUGAUUGAAGAGAUAGGGCAGCAACAUGUUGUCCAACUCGUGACCGACAAUGGCUCUAACUUCAAGAAAGCAUGUCUUGACCUUGUUGCAGAUUUCCCACACAUCACAUGGCAGCCAUGUGCAGCUCACACCAUUAACCUCAUGCUGAAGGAGAUGGGAUGCUUUCCUGAGAUUAAUGAAGUGGUUAGUAGUUGUAAGAGAAUUUGUAGAUUCAUGUACAAUCAUUCAACUUUGCAUGCUGAAAUGCAGAAGCACAUAGGUGGAGAGUUGGUGCGACCGAAUGCCACAAGGUUUGGAACUAACUUUAUGUUCCUAGAAAGCUUUUGGGAUAAGCAAGAGAAAUUCCAAGUGUGGAUGACAUCUCCAGAGUGGAAAAAUAGCUCAUGGAGUUCCGAGGUUGAUUAUGACUACACAUAUGAUUGUUUGAUAAGUAGGACCUGGUGGAAUGGUGUGAAGCGGUUGCACAAGAUGGUUUUUUGCCACUACAACCUUGGGCUGCGAAUCCGACUAAUUCUUGGUGAGACAAAAGAGAAAGAGGUUGAUACUUGUGCGUUGUUGAUGAAUACCUCUCUCUAUGAUUGUAACAACGAAAUCAUGGAUUGGCUGGGCAACUCAACAAGUGAUUCCAUGCAAGAUGAGGAUGCGUAUGAUGGUGAUGGUGAUUGUCCAGUGGUCGUAGAGGUGGGACAAAAGAGAACUAGAGGAAGUGGGAUGCCUCCAAGUGAGGAGGAAGAGGAGGAAGAGGAGGAAGAGGAGGCAGAGGAUGUAGAUGAUGGGGAGGAUGAUGAAGCUUGA
rnacentral:rRNA from 1 species